rnacentral:rRNA from 1 species
UACGAACCGUACAAACGUUAUUCGGAAUCACUGGGCUUAAAGGGUGCGUAGGCGGCCAUGUAAGUGAGGUGCGAAAUCCCUCGGCUCAACCGAGGAACUGCGCUUCAUACUGCAUGGCUUGAGGGAGACAGGGGUAAGCGGAACUGAUGGUGGAGCGGUGAAAUGCGUUGAUAUCAUCAGGAACACCGGUGGCGAAAGCGGCUUACUGGGUCUCUUCUGACGCUGAGGUACGAAAGCUAGGGUAGCGAACGGG